rnacentral:rRNA from 1 species
CGCGUAGGCGGCCUGGUAAGUCUGGAGUGAAAGUCCUGCUUUUAAGGUGGGAAUUGCUUUGGAUACUGUCGGGCUUGAGUGCAGGAGAGGUAAGUGGAAUUCCCGGUGUAGCGGUGAAAUGCGUAGAGAUCGGGAGGAACACCAGUGGCGAAGGCGACUUACUGGACUGUAACUGACGCUGAGGCGCGAAAGUGUGGGGGAGCAAACA